UACGUAGGGUGCAAGCGUUAAUCGGAAUUACUGGGCGUAAAGCGUGCGCAGGCGGUGAUGUAAGACAGGUGUGAAAUCCCCGGGCUUAACCUGGGAACUGCAUUUGUGACUGCAUCGCUGGAGUGCGGCAGAGGGGGAUGGAAUUCCGCGUGUAGCAGUGAAAUGCGUAGAUAUGCGGAGGAACACCGAUGGCGAAGGCAAUCCCCUGGGCCUGCACUGACGCUCAUGCACGAAAGCGUGGGGAGCGAACGGG
rnacentral:rRNA from 1 species